AGUAACACGUGGAUAACCUACCUAUAAGACUGGGAUAACUUCGGGAAACCGGAGCUAAUACCGGAUGAUAUUUUGAACCGCAUGGUUCAAAAGUGAAAGACGGUCUUGCUGUCACUUAUAGAUGGUAUCCGCGCUGCAUUAGCUAGUUGGUAAGGUAACGGCUUACCAAGGCAACGAUGCAUAGCCGACCUGAGAGGGUGAUCGGCCACACUGGAACUGAGACACGGUCCAG
rnacentral:rRNA from 1 species